CAGUCUCUCAUGAAGAGAUGGUCUUAAGCACACUUCCAAAAAACAUGAGCUUUCUUCUUUUUCUUCUCCUGCAACUAGACUGUGUGGACCUGCUUCAAGUCCAGCAGUCCCCCCUGGACCUGGUCCUCCAUCCAGGCUCCCCCAUGAAGGUCACGUGCUCCGUUCAGGGCAACAGCAACCCGAACACGUUCUGGUACCGCUGGACUCCCACAGAGGGGAUACAUUGCGUGUUCUACUCUGUCGGAACCGGGCAGGUGGAACCGGCCAAAGUGGACGAGUUCAGUGCCAGCAGGCCCAAUAACUCCCAUUUUGUUCUGGAGUCGGCCGGGGUGGGGACUGGCCUGGCCGUGUGGUACUGCGCUGGCAGUACCCACGGCAACAAAAGCAAGGCAGGCCGCUGUACAAUAAACUCCCCGCUGUAA